rnacentral:misc_RNA from 1 species
CAAUGAGGGGAGAUAAAGUGACCAUCUCCAUUUCACCUGGAAUUGGGAAGCAUCACCAUCUUUUCUUACUUAUUUAAACAGUUAUUUUUGAGCAAGCAAGCAAACAUCCAUCCAGCCAUCUAUUUGCCCCUUUAGAGUGGAGAACUUGAGGUUGGUACCAAGAUGAGAAAUUUCUCAAUCCAUAGUUUAAAGAAAAAAAAAAAAUUGCAAAUAGCACUUUACAAAAUGUCAAA